rnacentral:sRNA from 1 species
CAGCAAAGGCCGAUCUAUUUCAAAUCUGUUUUAAAACAGGGGGAUUCCUGCCGGCAAAACGCAGGAUGCUGGUCAAUACUCAUCAUUACUGAUUGCGGCACCUCCCCCCAAGUGCCCGUCAGUCGGAGUGGCGUGGGAACGCUUCCUCCGGUUUCACUCCUAAUGGUCUUGGCCCGGAUUCCCCCCCAGAACCCGG